rnacentral:rRNA from 1 species
CCCUUAGAUGUCCUGGGCCGCACGCGUGCUACACUGACGCAUACAGCGAGUACUUUCCAGUUCCGAGAGGCUACUGGUAAUCAUCAAUAUGCGUCGUGAUGGGGAUAGAUCUUUGGAAUUCUGGAUCUUGAACGAGGAAUGCCUAGUAAUCGCAGGUCAUUAGCCUGCGAUGAUUAAGUCCCUGCCCUUUGUACACACCGCCCGUCGCUACUACCGAUUUCGAGUGGUCAGGUGAAUCUUUCGGACUGUGGGCGCCCUUGAGGUGUUCGCGGAAAGUCAGGUAAAUCUUAUCACUUAGAGGAAGUAAAAGUCGUAACA